rnacentral:rRNA from 1 species
GAUGAACGCUGGCGGCGUGCAUAACACAUUCAAGUCGAACGGAGUUGUUGUUUUUAGAUCCCUUCGGGGUGACGGAGCUUCAACUUAGUGGCGGACGGGUGAGUAACGCGUGAGCAACCUGCCCUUGCGUGGGGGAUAACGUUUGGAAACGAACGCUAAUACCGCAUAACGUAUUCUUAUUGCAUGGUUUGAAUACCAAAGAUUUAUUGCGCAAGGAUGGGCUCGCGUCUGAUUAGGUAGUUGGUGGGGUAACGGCCCACCAUGGCGACGAUCGGUAGCCGGACUGAGAGGUUGAUCGGCCACAUUGGGACUGAGACACGGCCCAGACUCCUACGGGAGGCAGCAGUGGGGAAUAUUGCACAAUGGAGGAAACUCUGAUGCAGCGACGCCGCGUGAGGGAAGAAGUAUUUCGGUACGUAAAGCUCUAUCAGCAGGGAAGAAAAUGACGGUACCUGACUAAGAAGCCCCGGCUAACUACGUG